CGAACGCUGGCGGCGUGCUUAACACAUGCAAGUCGAACGGUGAAGCGCCUUCCUUUUUGGUGGGUGUGGAUGAGUGGCGAACGGGUGAGUAACACGUGAGUAACCUGCCCCCUUCUUCUGGAUAACCGCAUGAAAGUGUGGCUAAUACGGGAUAUUCUGGGUCUGUCGCAUGAUGGGUCUGGGAAAGAUAUUGUUUCGGUGGGGGAUGGGCUCGCGGCCUAUCAGCUUGUUGGUGGGGUGAUGGCCUACCAAGGCGGUGACGGGUAGCCGGCCUGAGAGGGUGGACGGUCACACUGGGACUGAGACACGGCCCAGACUCCUACGGGAGGCAGCAGUGAGGAAUAUUGCACAAUGGGCGCAAGCCUGAUGCAGCGACGCCGCGUGAGGGAUGGAGGCCUUCGGGUUGUGAACCUCUUUCGCCAGUGAAGCAGGCCUGCCUCGUUUGUGGGUGGGUUGACGGUAGCUGGAUAAGAAGCGCCGGCUAACUACGUG
rnacentral:rRNA from 1 species